rnacentral:rRNA from 1 species
UACGUAGGGGGCAAGCGUUGUCCGGAUUUAUUGGGCGUAAAGAGCUCGUAGGUGGUUCGGUAAGUCGGAUGUGAAAUCUCCAGGCUCAACCUGGAGGGGUCAUUCGAUACUGCCGUGACUAGAGUUCGGUAGGGGAGUGUGGAAUUCCUGGUGGAGCGGUGAAAUUCGUAGAUAUCGGGAGGAACACCGGUGGCGAAGGCGGCGACCUGGGACAAUACUGACGCUGAGGUGCGAAAGCGUGGGGAGCAAACAGG